rnacentral:rRNA from 1 species
UACAGAGGGUGCUAGCGUUGUUCGGAAUCAUUGGGCGUAAAGGGCGUGUAGGCGGUUUGUUAAGUCAUGUGUGAAAUCCCUCGGCUCAACCGGGGAACGACGCAUGAAACUGGCAGCUAGAGUACCAAAGAGGGGGGUGGAAUUCCCGGUGUAGCGGUGAAAUGCGUAGAUAUCGGGGAGGAACACCUGUGGCGAAGGCGGCCCCCUGGUUGGAUACUGACGGCUGAUACGCGAAAAGCGUGGGGGAGCAAACAGGG